rnacentral:tRNA from 1 species
GGGGUCGUAGCUCAGUUUGGUUAGAGCGCUUGCCUGUCACGCAAGAAGUCGCGGGUUCGAGUCCCGUCGGCCCCG